rnacentral:rRNA from 1 species
CACGGGGGGCCUACGGGAGGCAGCAGUGGGGAAUAUUGCACAAUGGGGGGAACCCUGAUGCAGCCAUGCCGCGUGUAUGAAGAAGGCUUUCGGGUUGUAAAGUACUUUCAGUUGGGAGAGAAGUAAAGGGCUCGAAUAGGGUUAUUUAUUGACAUUACCGACAGAAGAAGCACCGGCUAAUCAANAAG